UGCGUAGGGCGCAAGCGUUGUCCGGAAUUAUUGGGCGUAAAGGGCUCGUAGGCGGUCUGUCGCGUCGGGAGUGAAAACUCAGGGCUUAACCCUGAGCCUGCUUCCGAUACGGGCAGACUAGAGGUAUGCAGGGGAGAACGGAAUUCCUGGUGUAGAGGUGAAAUGCGCAGAUAUCAGGAGGAACACCGGUGGCGAAGGCGGUUCUCUGGGCAUUACCUGACGCUGAGGAGCGAAAGUGUGGGGAGCGAACAGG
rnacentral:rRNA from 1 species